UGCUUUUCCGCGUCCUCCACCUCGGGAACCCCUGGUGACUUUGUCGCAGCCUCCGUUACCCUGUGAUCUGCAGGUCCUGGGAGACGCACAGCUAAGAUGCCCGGACAUCCUGGAAGCUGGGAAAUGGUGGGUUGGUUACUCUCAGACCAAGAUUCAGUACACAUGUGAGGCUGUGACUGCACUGAAAAGCACAGCCCACAGACAAAACUGUGGCUCUCUUGCAAUACUGUCAACCAUUGAGAUUGUGACUCACGUACUUAGACCCAACAUACAGGAGGUGUUGACCCUCAUACCUGGAACCUGGACAUGUGUGGAAUUUCUAAUCUCAUUCCUGGACUUUCCUGCAGAAAAGACUGUGACAUAUUCCUGGCCCAAAACCCAUGUGAUGCGACUCCUCUCUCCCUAUUCACAGGUGAUAUGACUCUUCUUCAGCCUGCACCCUGCCAAAAGAGGAUUGUGAUGUAUCAUUGGACCCAGCACCUAGAUGAUGUAACUCUCAUCUUUUCCCUGGACCUUGCAUAUUUUGGGUGUGAU
rnacentral:sRNA from 1 species